rnacentral:rRNA from 1 species
GACGAACGCUGGCGGCGUGCUUAACACAUGCAAGUCGAACGGAAAGGCCCUGCUUUUGUGGGGUGCUCGAGUGGCGAACGGGUGAGUAACACGUGAGUAACCUGCCCUUGACUUUGGGAUAACUUCAGGAAACUGGGGCUAAUACCGGAUAGGAGCUCCUGCUGCAUGGUGGGGGUUGGAAAGUUUCGGCGGUUGGGGAUGGACUCGCGGCUUAUCAGCUUGUUGGUGGGGUAGUGGCUUACCAAGGCUUUGACGGGUAGCCGGCCUGAGAGGGGGACCGGCCAAAUUGGGAAAUAGAGACGGCCAGGAGUCCUCAGGGAGGCAGCAGUGGGGAAGAGGGGUCAAGGGGCGGAAGUCGGAUGCAGCAACGCCGUGUGAGGGAGGACGGCCGUCGGGUUGUAAACAGCUUGCGCCUGUGACGAAGGGUGAGUGACGGGAAUGGGUAGAGAAGCACCGGACAAAUACGUG